rnacentral:lncRNA from 1 species
GUGAGCUUGGCCAUGAAGCCAGGAGGCAUCUGAACAAUAACAUUUGAGCUCUUGCUUGGAGCAAGGUUAGGUUGCUUUGGAGUUUGAGCCAAGGCUUUAUCCACUUUGCCGUGGGCAUCUGGGAGAAGGCUUCUGAGAUUUGGCAAACUCCGCUAAAGACAGUUCGUGAACCGUAUUUAUCACACCAUUUUCAGAGAGAAACCCCGGAAUCGUAUUUCCCUUCGUAUAUACUAACUGCCCAGCUUUCCGUGUAACUCCUCAUAUGUAAUCUAGGUCUGCCUUCUCAAAAAUCCUAUAAAGUGCCCUUACAAAUGAAUGAAAUAAGAUUUAGAGGUAUUGAGUGCCCCACUUGCAGACGGAGUGAAAAUAGAAUCUUUCUAUACGGUAUUCUGCACUUAACCAAAUUGCCUGAAACUGAGAAAUCAUAAACAAAUCAGUUAAUAUUUUCUAGGAAGUAGGAAUCCUUUUAAAUUAUUUCGACUUUUUUUUUUUUACAGGUGAGAUCUGUUAACCUUAUCCACAUUCCCCGAUACACUGAAAAGCCGAGGAGCGGGUGCUCGUAUGGUUUCCUGACUACUAGCUGGGAGCUUAACGUACCACACUUCCACUCAAUUCGAUUCAAUAAAUAGUUAUUGGACUCCUGUUAUGUGCAAAAUAUUAUGCUGGUCUUACAGAAAAUGCUAGAUGACUAAGAGUUCCUGCCCUUGGAGAGGAAGCUGUAGGACAAAUUUACAAGAGAACUAUAGGAGAAGGCAACAUCCAGUUAGUGACCUAGGAAGGAUAGGCCAUACAGUGGAGUGGGUGAGCACCAGGGCUCUCAAGGUCGGGUUCAUCUCUCCUACACUCUGGAUGUGACCUAGGACAAGUCACUUAACUGAUCUGUGCCUGAUUCCUCGUCUGUCAGAUGAACAGUAGCCCCUGCCUCAUAAGAGAGGUAGUAAGAUCAGGUGAAUGAAUACCCUUGAAAAUUUUUGCUUAGUGAUUGAUUAUUAGCCUUUAUUAGUUAACCUGAAGUCUCUGCAUUUGAUGUCAUCAAAUGCAUUCGUUUUCACUUUUAUGGUUUAUGCUUCUUGGGGCUUUUUGAAGAAAUUCUCCAACUUUUUUUUUCUAUUAAUUGUAUGUCUUUAUUUUCACACUUAGGUCUUUAAUGGCACGAGGCAACCCUUCAACUUUAAUAUUCACCCUGUAAUGUGCCCACACCAUGUCUGAAUAAUCCACUUUACAAUCUUUUACCUUAAGUAUCUUCUCUAAUAUUGGUUUUAGAUUAAAUAUAAUGUGUUACAUGCAAACGGUAAAACUGUUAUUGCAUAUUUUUUCGUUCAUAUUUGACUGGGGCAUCCUUAUCUAGG